rnacentral:rRNA from 1 species
AUUGAACGCUGGCGGCAUGCUUUACACAUGCAAGUCGAACGGCAGCGGGUCCUUCGGGAUGCCGGCGAGUGGCGAACGGGUGAGUAAUGCAUCGGAACGUACCCAGUCGUGGGGGACAACGUAGCGAAAGUUACGCUAAUACCGCAUACGACCUGAGGGUGAAAGCAGGGGAUCGCAAGACCUUGCGCGAUUGGAGCGGCCGAUGUCAGAUUAGCUAGUUGGUGGGGUAAAGGCUCACCAAGGCGACGAUCUGUAGCGGGUCUGAGAGGAUGAUCCGCCACACUAGGACUGAGACACGGCCCAGACUCCUACGGGAGGCAGCAGUGGGGAAUUUUGGACAAUGGGGGCAACCCUGAUCCAGCCAUGCCGCGUGCGGGAAGAAGGCCUUCGGGUUGUAAACCGCUUUCGGACGGGAAGAAAUCGCCAUCGUUAAUACCGGUGGUGGAUGACGGUACUGUAAGAAGAAGCACCGGCUAACUACGUGCCAGCAGCCGCAGUAACAC